CUGACUGUGGCAGGGGACACUCUCCUGCUGGCUCUCUCUGUCCACACUUAGCUGGCUCCUGUCCUCAGGUGCACGGCCACACCCUUGCACCCAACCUUGAUCCUCUGAUGGGGAAGGUCCCAGAACUUGUCUGCUGGGACAGGCCUCACCCCCAAGAGCUCUGGGCAGUACUGAGAAGCCUGGCUGCCUCAGUAUCUUCAGGAGAGCCACGGUGACCACAGUAGCUUUCUCUUCAAAAUGACAACUAUCUCGUCUCCUCAGACUCCAUUAACUCCACCAGCAGUCAGAAGAAAACUCACAAAAUGGAGGUUGGGAAGCUUGAUCUCUAGAACAUUCACAGGACGACAGGAUGAGAGAAAACAGGUGUGACGCAGAGGUAGCUACAAUGUGAAGCAACUGUGCGUCGGCCGACUUUAUCCAUAAAGAAUUCCAGCCGGCCUCACGGUUUUCAAGACCACACACUCUGAGGGGCGGAGCACAUAUCAAGCAGAUCGCUGUCUCUUAGAGUAACGGAAGAGGAAGAUAAAGGACACUCAGACUCAGUGCACAUCCGGUCAAGCCUGACCCAAACAACUUCCUCUUCGCAGACAGACUUUCAGAUCCUGCUUGCAGAGUCCCAACCCCGUGCAGAGGACAUUGGUGCCUCAUUGGCUGUUGCUCUUCAUUUUAAUGGGGGAUUGCAGAGGCAAAGCUAGGCUAGGUCUUGGAGGCUGGUGUAAGGCGGUGCGUGAAGGCAGGACGCUGAUGGGAGAGACUGGUCG
rnacentral:lncRNA from 1 species